rnacentral:misc_RNA from 1 species
GAUGAAGAACGGAGCGAAAUGCGAUAAGUAAUGUGAAUUGCAGAAUUCAGUGAAUCAUCGAAUCUUUGAACGCACAUUGCGCCCCUUGGUAUUCCGAGGGGCAUGCCUGUUCGAGCGUCAUUAUAACCCCUCAAGCUCAGCUUGGUGUUGGGGCCUGCUGCACUGGCAGCCCUUAAAAUCAGUGGCGGCGCCAUCUGGCUCUAAGCGUAGUAAUUCUUCUCGCUAUGGAGUCCUGGUGGAUGCUUGCCAUCAACCCCCAAUUUUUCUAUGGUUGACCUCGGAUCAGGUAGGGAUACCCGCUGAACUUAAGCAUAUCAAUAAGCGGAGGA